rnacentral:rRNA from 1 species
GACAGAGGGUGCAAACGUUGCUCGGAAUUACUGGGCGUAAAGGGUGUGUAGGCGGUCCGCUAAGUCUGAUGUGAAAGCCCGAGGCUUACCCUCGGAAGUGCAUUGGAGACUGGCGGACUGGAGUCCCGGAGAGGAGGGUGGAAUUCCUGGUGUAGCGGUGAAAUGCGUAGAUAUCAGGAGGAACACCGGUGGCGAAGGCGGCCCUCUGGACGGUGACUGACGCUGAGACGCGAAAGCGUGGGGAGCAAACAGG